rnacentral:rRNA from 1 species
AGCGAACGCUGGCGGCAGGCCUAACACAUGCAAGUCGAACGAACCUUUCGGGGUUAGUGGCGGACGGGUGAGUAACACGUGGGAACGUGCCUUUAGGUUCGGAAUAACUCAGGGAAACUUGUGCUAAUACCGAAUGUGCCCUUCGGGGGAAAGAUUUAUCGCCUUUAGAGCGGCCCGCGUCUGAUUAGCUAGUUGGUUGAGGUAAUGGCUCACCAAGGCGACGAUCAGUAGCUGGUCUGAGAGGCUGAUCAGCCACAUUGGGACUGAGACACGGCCCAAACUCCGACGGGAGGAAGCAGUGGGGAAUGUUGAGCAAUGGGCGAAAGCCUGACGCAGCCAUGCCGCGUGAAUGAUGAAGGUCUUAGGAUUGUAAAAUUCUUUCACCGGGGACGAUAAUGACGGUACCCGGAGAAGAAGCCCCGGCUAACUUCGUG